UACGUAGGGUGCAAGCGUUGUCCGGAAUUAUUGGGCGUAAAGAGCUCGUAGGCGGUUUGUCGCGUCUGGUGUGAAAAUCCAGGGCUUAACCCUGGACCUGCAUCGGGUACGGGCAGACUAGAGUGCGGUAGGGGAGAUCGGAAUUCCUGGUGUAGCGGUGAAAUGCGCAGAUAUCAGGAGGAACACCGGUGGCGAAGGCGGGUCUCUGGGCAACAACUGACGCUGAGGAGCGAAAGCGUGGGGAGCGAACAGG
rnacentral:rRNA from 1 species